AUCUAAUAGUCGAGGAACUCGACAAUCAUUCUGUUUCGUUUUAAAAGUUAUUCAAUUUUUAGCCGGGUAGCAUAUUUUACAAUUUGAAGUGUUAAUCUUUACCUAAAUUAAAGCAUGCGCUUUGAGCACCGUCAAGUCCUAGAACUCAAUUUGAACUACAACAAGACCAGCUAAAAACUUUUAAUUUCUUUUUCGAACUAAAAGUCGAGCAGGUUUAUACUAAGAUACCAGCCAUCUAGCUUUCAAGCGGUUUGAGGCAGCCAUAAAGGCAGCCGGAUGAUAAGGCAACUGCCAUUUUCCAACCCCGGUCUUCACGCCAUGUACACGCACUCCCGAAUGGUAAUUCCGAAUAUCGUCUUAGUACUAUCUUUGCCAUCUUUUUGGGAAACUGGCUUUUCAUAAAGCAUGGAAAGGUCGCGUGCUGAUUGACGUUUGGAUGUCAGUGGAAAAAACCUGCUUCACGAAAAGCGAAUAGGCGACUAACACUACCGGAAUUUCAAAAUCUUUUAGAUUACAUUUUAAUUUCAUCUUUACGUUGCCCAUCUUCCACCUCCAUCAACGGUUAGUGGCCACCAUUUAGUUUUCCCGGAGUUUUUGCUGUUCCAGAUACGCGCCAGGAAACUUUUGCUUGCAGAAAAAUAAUUUGGGUCUGAAAGUCGGCGCCUCGCUCUGGUUACCAUCGACACAAAUUUAGCGAGUGAGCUUUGACAGCCCCCAAAAGUUGGGCAUUGCUUGACAAUGUUUGCCGGAGCAGAGCCCGGAAUUUUUAAUGCAAGAGCAAACUUCUGCGCUUGUGAUAAUGUUGCAAUUUGCAAAUAGUAUAUAAAUCUGGCUAAUAGUUGCUGGGCCAGAUUUAAUGACAUAGAAAUUAACUGUUAACUAUUUCCCAAUCGCUCGUUAGUUUACUCAUCAUUAUGCUAACAACGUCCUUGUGCCUGAAGAACCAUCCGACUAAUGCACUUGAACACGUCUUUUGGAUCCCCUUUGCCUGGAGUGUCAGCUGUCAGCUAAAAACGAACUGCGCGUUAUUUGCAUAAUCAUUAAAUGGUGAACGCCGCAACAAGCUUUAUUACGAUUGGAACACAAUAAGAAGUGGCCUAUAAUCAUAAAGAAAGCAAGUUAUUCACUGCCUCGGGUUCCGGGCCAGGAUGUGUAUCGUUGGCCAGGGCUAGCAACAAAAGAGUGCACCAAGUUGGGACAGGCCGAGAUGUCGGAAAUUAAGUGCGUGCUCUGUCCCGCGCUGAGGAAAAGUUAAGACGGAAGAUUUGAAGCCGCGGUCUUCCAAGAAUGCUCCUUGCUCGCAGUCAAUCGAUGUUGGAUGUCGUAACCGAAUAAUGCUUUAAACUGCCCAGUGGCAGGUUUUUUCGUUAUCCCAGGCCGCGCGGGUAGCGGUAAUGUGAAAGCACGCCCCUUACUUAAAUGGAUUCGAGCCAAUACCAAAUAUUUCGGGAUGUGGGCCAACUUUGCAAGUUUGAAGUCAAUUUAGCGGAAUGUUGCCGGGACGAAAUAUGUGGGCUCCAGUGCUUACACGUUUUUUACAAUUAACAAAGCCAGAAGACCACAAAUGUCGAUCCGAAACGAAAUACCCUCACAAAUUCCUAUUUUAAAUAUAUGUUGUGCAUUCUGGAAUUUAAAGCCGCGGGAAGCAAAAUACAUUACUGUGAAUUUGUAGAGGGUUCUUAUUAACUUUCGACUUCCUGUGUCCAAGAAUAAGCAUUUACAAGCAUUUGCAUUGCCGCCAGCACUUAAGUUAAAGGAUGUCACCACUGGCGAGUAUAACCCCCAGCCAUUGGAAAACCGGAAAGCUGCCUGCGUGCUGGUCCAACAUAAAAGGGAAAAUAGCAGCCGCAACAGGAAAAGCAAUAGUAUUUACGCGUGCCUUUGAUAAUGAGGACUUAUGAAUGCGUGAACACAUAAAAGAUAAGAUACAAGAAGGUGGGGAGCCUACUAAUUGUUAGUUAUUAGUUCGCCAUUGAUGCUGCAAGAGGUGUGCUCCAUGGUACACUCAAUAAACACUUUUACGCGGAUCUAUCGAGUUCUUUGGCAUGUUUACAUAUAUGCAUAUACAUAUCUCAGCUAAAGACAAACCAAUGGCCAUGAGUACGUGAAUUUUUAAAGAUGUAUAUAACCCAAAUGACGGGGAAUGCCGUUUCCACAUUUUUGUAACUAUUCCGCAGUAAACUUUAUUAUUGGUAUACGAGUCUGUCCUACUUAACGUGCAACUAACUUAAUGGCUCGUUGUCUUUCGGUGGUCGUAAACUUUCAACUCAACCGACGCUGACCAGUGGCAUCCUGCUCAACCCCAAAACGACAGACGUGGGGUAGAGUGAAAUUAGCUAAUUGUGCGAUGGACAUCGCCAUUGCUGUUCUAAAUCGAAGCCUAGUUGCCUGCGAAUCAACGUCGCCCUUGCGGCUAUACCCAGUGGUAGUCUCGCAUUUACCUUUGACGGCAGCCGGCUGUGGUGAACUCAGUUGCGUUGGCAUAAAUCCAAUGCCCUUUGACUCCAAUGUGCAGGACCGGAAAAUGCUCCCUUUUCAAAUGCUUAGUCCCGCAUUUUUGGACGUCGGACCACGGACGGAAUUUUCUAAAUGAAGGGGCCAGUUGUGAUUUAGAGGGGGGGCGAUACGUCGAUCGACUGCUCGGCCAACCGAUGGGUACAACAUGUUGAGGUCCCACUUAUUGGAUGUCAAUAACUAUGGACUCGACGGGAUGUCCUCAGAUAAUACAUGCCGUGUUUGGCCAAUUUACAUCCACCAACUACGGUGGUUGUGGCCUGUGACGUCCUGAUAGGUAUGCAAUAAUGAAAUUUUGCGUGUGCUAGGGCCCAGAUUGUAUUUAUUGCCUUUUCUGGACUUCUGCCGAUUGCCCUUUCCCAAAACAACUUUGGUAGUGUGAAAGAGUGGGUUGGAUUGGAUGGUGCAAAGGGAGCUUGCAUUUGUAGUUG
rnacentral:sRNA from 1 species